UUUUUCUGCAUUAAAUUAGAUAUUUUUAUAUAUUUAAAUGAAAGAGUCUGUAUUUCUAACUUUUUAAUUGAAAUUAAUAUUUUCUCUGCCUAUUGAAACAUUUUUCUAUAAACACACACCAGUAGAGGCCGCCACACACCUCAUUUAGUAAAGACAUAUGAGCCAUUAAAUACCUUGAAGGAAGACUUCAAAGGUGAGAUGAAAACGUCCCAAACAAGUUCUCUGCCAGUUCACAGCAGCAGAGACAAAUGUAUACAUUACUCUCCAUUUCUUUUAGGAUUAAAGGCUAGCCUCAGAAUCCUACUCAAUGUUCACAUUUUUAGAGAGAGCCGAGUUUCCCUCUUGAGUUCAUGGAAGCGUUAACGGGGUGCUAUCAAAUCAUGCACUAUUUGCAUCUACAACCUGAUUAAUAAGUACCUAAACCAAGAAAGUAAGCAUCUUUUUUCCUUCUGCCUUCUUUCAGGCAUAUGUGUUACUUGAAUUUUGCCUUGUCGGCUUCAGCGAGCUUUUCAUUUUGGUCUUGGCAUUAAAAUCAUUUUAACUAACCACGUCUAUAUAACAUUUGUGAAGCCUUAUUAGCUUGUAAAUAAUUUUUAGAUGCAAAUAUUAUUGUGUGAUUUAAACAAACAGCCCUUCUUCACAACAAAAAAUAGUUUUGUUUUGUCUAUUGUAAAUCCUUAUGCAACUGGGAUGGUGAUCUGCAUAUAAAGUAGUCCAGCUUUUCAAUUCCUUAUUAAAGCAAUUGAUGGCGUCUGAAAGAAGCACACUGUUUCCUUUUCAUAAAUAGGUUACUGCACAUAAUAAUCCUUUAUUAUCAUGUGGAGAUUGAAGUGGAUUCUGAUAACUUACUUUUAAAGCUUCAAAAUGACUAAUAGUAUAUUGUCUGUCACUAUAAACAAUUCAUGUGAUAGGCUUGCAAUUAGAAAUUACUUAAAUCCAAAUUCUUUGGAUUAAGAACUACUGGUGCAAAAUAGUCUUUUUUGACAAUGGAAGGUAAUCGUGUAUAUAUAAAUGCCAAGGGCAUUCAGGAAGAAAAUGCCUGUAAUACCCGAAAAUCUCUGAAUAUCUACAAGCUCACUUGUUCAUUCUUUGAUUAGAGGUCACAAUUCCUACUUAAAUCCAUUAGAUCAAAGUUGAAGAUGGUGGGCCGGAAAGAUCUACAAGGAAGGUCACGAGUAGAGAUUUUCCAUUUCUUAGACGAGGAGCAAGAGCGUGGGAUGCUGGUUGAACCUGGAGAUAGCUCCUGGAAACCACCUCCUCUUAGAUAUGUAAGAGUUUCAAAAAUCCUCUCGUGGCUGCUCUCGUUGGGUGAAAUGAUAAAUACAGAAUGCAGAGGUAGGUAUUUGGAGAAGUGGUAUGAAGGCAAAUUAGUCGACAUAUUCUAUUAAGAUACUUUUUUUUUUUUUGGCUCAAACUUUAUGACUAGGACACUGAUGUGGUGCUUCCACAUCAGUGUUCUUCUGAAAAUGAAGUCAUUCCUACUGUAAAAUGCCAUUAAUCCAUAGAAAAACUAACUCAUUAAUCUUCAACAGAGAUAGCCUACUACCUGAUUUUAAAGAGGCCUCCUGGAAGAACUCCGAAGCAUAAACUCUCUUGCUUAUAAUAACAACGGUUUCUUUUAUUUUAUAUUCUCAUGCCUCUUCAAUUUCUACUUUAUUUUGUAUUGGGUUUUCAAAUGAAAUCCUUUGAAUGUGGCCCAGACUAUGUCAUUUAAAGGCAUAAUACACUAUAUACUUUGAAGCUUUAUUUCUAAUGCAAUCACAAGCACGUUUAGGUUUAUUAACUUAUUAGCAUCCCCACUGACUGUAUUGUUUUGCUUUAUCCACGCAAGUGCUUUCAAACAUAUUUUAUUUUAGGAUUUUUAUUUUUAUCUCCUACAGCUGGAUUUUGCUAGUUCACUUUUAUUUCAAAUGCAGCGCAGCGAAAUGGUUCCAGCCAGCAGCAUACCAUCUCCCCUGGCCCUGCCUGGAACAGAUCUGUCAUGUCUGGCAAAUGGUAAUUCCCUUUGAUGCUAGCUCUCAAUUAGUUGCUUCCACUGUUUUUGAAUAUACCUGUGUCUGAGUUUGUAUUGGAACACGCAAAAGCACCACUUCUCAGUCUGGACACAAUUGCCAAAAGUCUAAUUUGGUCAACCUGUGUGCCUUGUUAGUUGCCUCCAGCAGCUGAUGAGUAAGGACGUGGCUGCUUAGUUUCCUCUGCUUAGUCCUCUGACUUCUAAGGUGAUUUAAUUUUCCUGAAUAUUUCCAUGUCAUCAAGGGCUCAAUAUUUUAUGGAUCUUACAAAAAGUGUAUGAUGAACGAGAAGAAGGUUCUGUGAGUUUUCAGAUGCUGGAAAUUCAUUUUGAUUGUGCACAUUCCAGAAACAUACUGGAUUGCAUGCUAGAGUGAAGAAAGCCUUCCAGACAAUUCUCCCAAUCCAAUCAUUUCUUCAGUCAUUCCGUAAAUAUCUGAGUGCUCCUUUCCUAGAUGCCAGGAUCUCUGCCUGACCCCCUCAUCCCCAACACCCCUCUUCUCCCCUCCCGCCGAGAACGUAAUGCUAUUAAAAGAGAACCUUAUCUGAAUGACAGUCACCCAGAACAAACAGUGGGAACAGUAAUGAAAUGCAGGAAAUCGGGUUUUUAAAGGUGAUUCUGUGCAAUGAAGUAUAAAAGCGAUACAGCAUAGGCUAGCUACUGUGUAAUCGCCAUUAACAUCUCUUUAGAGUUACACAGCUAAAAAGGAGAAGAAAAAAAAAAACCACAAAAAUCAAAUAAAACACAUUUCUGCGGAAUAGGGCCCAAUCGUAUGGCCUGAAGAUAGCUGUAUGCGUGUGCUAUCUAAAGAUCUACAUUGUAAAGAUGACUCCCAGAACUGUAAAUACAAAAAUCACAAACAUGCUUCCAUUAUCUGGAAUAUCCAUGUUUUUUAGAGGAAAUAUUUGCUUUAUAGUUCAGUGGCUUAAAAUAUAACAUUUUGGCUUGAGUGUCUUUUACAAAGACAGUAAAAGACAGACUUACCUAAAUCCUGAGAGAAAAUUAAGUACUGUAUAUAGGUGUGCUGUGCUUCUCACAAUGGUUGUGCAAAAAGUCACGUGUAAAUUGAAGUUUUGUAAGUUCAACUGUAUUUUCAAUGCAUUAGGGGGGCUGCCAUUUAGAGGAAACUUGUGAAUCCUUUUAUAAAGCAGAAAACCAUUUUAUAAUACAGAUAAUCAGUCUAACUUCUCUGUUUUGUAUGUUUGGAUUUUCGAUAUCCACUUUGCUUAAAAUGGAGCCCAUCUGCAUAAUAAGAGUGUGUUUUGCCAGUGCUGCUUGUGCUACCGGUUUCUUGGUUGCUAAGGGCUUAUACUUGAAAAUCUGCUGCAGUUUUGUGUGAAUUGAAGUAUGGAGUUAUUUUACGAUGGCACGGCAGCAUUCCUGAACAGUCCGUGUAGCCAACCCAUUUCAACCCCAUUGAACACAAGACUCUUUGCUCAGCAGCGUCUCCUCUCUCAAAUAUGGCCAUGAUGCAUUAGAGGGUAGAGUGACUCCUGUAUUCACGUCUUAUAAAGUGCUUAGAGUCACAGGUUUUAUAAUAAAUAUAUGUUAUUGUGUAAAC
rnacentral:lncRNA from 1 species